UAGGGAAUCUUGCGCAAUGGGCGAAAGCCUGACGCAGCCAUGCCGCGUGGAUGAUGAAGGUCUUAGGAUUGUAAAAUUCUUUCACCGGGGAAGAUAAUGACGGUACCCGGAGAAGAAGCCCCGGCUAACUUCGUGCCAGCAGCCGCGGUAAUACGAAGGGGGCUAGCGUUGCUCGGAAUUACUGGGCGUAAAGGGCGCGUAGGCGGAUGUUUAAGUCGGGGGUGAAAGCCCGGGGGCUCAACCUCGGAAUUGCCUUCGAUACUGGACAUCUUGAGUACGGGAGAGGUGAGUGGAACUCCGAGUGUAGAGGUGAAAUUCGUAGAUAUUCGGAAGAACACCAGUGGCGAAGGCGACUCACUGGCCCGUUACUGACGCUGAGGCGCGAAAGCGUGGGGAGCAAACAGGAUUAGAUACCCUGGUAGUCCACGCCGUAAACGAUGAGUGCUAGUUGUCGGCAUGCAUGCAUGUCGGUGACGCAGCUAACGCAUUAAGCACUCCGCCUGGGGAGUAC
rnacentral:rRNA from 1 species